rnacentral:rRNA from 1 species
CGUGUAGGCGGUUAGGCAAGUCAGUGUGAAAUCCCUUGGCUCAACCAAGGAAGUGCGCUUGAAACUGCUUAACUAGAGUACAGGAGGGGAAAGUGGAAUUCCCAGUGUAGAGGUGAAAUUCAUAGAUAUUGGGAGGAACACCGGUAGCGAAGGCGGCUUUCUGGCCUGAUACUGACGCUGAGACGCGAAAGCGUGGGGAGCAAACA